rnacentral:rRNA from 1 species
GGAGUCGGACCUGCCCAGUGAAAGUUUUUUAACGGCCGCGGUACUCUGACCGUGCAAAGGUAGCAUAAUCAUUUGCCUUAUAAUUGAAGGCUAGUAUGAAUGGUUUGACAAGAAUAUAACUGUCUCUCUGUGGUUCAUUAGAAAUUUAUUUAUAGGUGAAGAAGCCUAUAUUCAAUUAAAAGACAAGAAGACCCUAUCGAGCUUUAGAGAAAUUAGUAAAAUAUAAGGAAACAAAUAAUAAUUAGAAUGUAAGUUACUAAAUACUUUAGUUGGGGCGACUGAGGAACAGAAAAAGCUUCCUUUAUAGUUUAGAGGCCUAACGAGCUUUGAUCCAAGAAAUUUUGAUUAAAGAAAUUAGUUACCGUAGGGAUAACAGCAUAAUCCUUUUUGAGAGUUCCUAUCGAAAAAUGGGUUUGUGACCUCGAUGUUGGACCAGAAUAUCCUAAAGAUGCAGCAGUCUUUAAGGG